UUGGAAUUUUACCCCACUGCCAGUUGCUACAUUAAAGAAAGUCAACUUGGGACAUCUUUUUCAGUGUAGUAAUUGGGGAGGGUGUAUAUUUGCCUGUCAAUUCAUGCAAGGUGUGUGAAGAGGACAGGAAAGUUGAGCUGUUUCAUCACGUUUGCUGAGCUUUAAACGGGCAUCUCAGGGUUCGCUACCACAACAAGUCUCAAGACAAGAUCCAAAGAGUAACCAGUUGCAUCCAGGCAUUCUGAUUCCACAGAAUGAUGUCAUUCAACCAAGUCUGAUGUGUCUUCCACCCAGUGACGGAUAGCAGAUGUUCUGCUCGCCCUGCGAGUGAUUUGCAAUUUGAGAAAAUGAUGCCUGUAAAGCCUGUUUAAACCCUGACUGAGCACCAGGCAAACAAAGAAUGAGAAGAAAGUGCUUAUGAUGAGCAGCUGAUCAAAUGCUGGAAGUGAGUUUGGAACCCAACGAGAUUGCUGUAGAGCUCAGCAUUUCCACCUUUCACCUUUAUUUCACAUCUCUUGCACCUGUAUUGUUCUGCAUCUCAGCCCUCCAACUUUAUCUUUCUGUUCUCUCACCUCUUAUUCAUUUCCUACUGAUAUCCUCUCUGAAAAGAUUAGUUGUAAUUAACUAUACUGCUUCGCCCCACCUACUCACCAUCAUCAGUUUCAAUGUGCCCACCACAUACAUUCCUCUGCUCCCUUCACCUAUCACCCUUCUCUGCAAUUGUUUCUCACAUCUGCAAGUUGUGAUGAAAGGUUAUUGACCUUUCUCUCUCACCAGCUGCUGCCCGAACUGUUGGCUUCUUUGAUAUUCUGGAAUUUGUGAAAAAUUCUGUUCAUGAAGUUUCACAUAAACUUCCUUUUCAUUGCAGCAGAAGCCUCUGAUCUGUAUUCACAGGUGAUCUAUUGCCAAAAUGUGCAGAAGCUGAGAGUAUUUUUCCUGUAAAUUGAGUUUAGGUGGACCUCAUGCUCAUGUCAUUGGAAUCAUGUUAUAAUUAAAAUCAAACAGAACAUUGAGAUCUUGAUAUAGUUUUUCAAAAUGUGCAACUCAUUAGGCAUCCUGGAUCUUGCAACUGCUUCAGUUUUUGUGCUUUCAGUAGUUUUCUUGUGUUCAGUAGUCAGUAUAUUCAGUAGCUUCAUGUUCAAGAGGCAGUUUAAUGCCCACUUUAAAGUCACAUGAUCAAUACAAAGAAGUCACAUGCAUCUAUUUUAUCCAUCCACCCAGAACAUUCAAAUUCUUUUCUCCCUUGUUGUGCAUCAAUAGUCGUUAUGGAGCCAAGCCCGGAGAUACUAAACAGUUGGGUAAC